rnacentral:rRNA from 1 species
GACGAACGCUGGCGGCGUGCUUAACACAUGCAAGUCGAACGGAAAGGCCCUGCUUUUGUGGGGUGCUCGAGUGGCGAACGGGUGAGUAACACGUGAGUAACCUGCCCUUGACUUUGGGAUAACUUCAGGAAACUGGGGCUAAUACCGGAUAGGAGCUCCUGCUGCAUGGUGGGGGUUGGAAAGUUUCGGCGGUUGGGGUUGGACUCGCGGCUUAUCAGCUUGUUGGUGGGGUAGUGGCUUACCAAGGCUUUGACGGGUAGCCGGCCUGAGAGGGUGACCGGCGACAUGGGGACUGAGAGACGGCCCAGACUCCUACGGGAGGCAGCAGUGGGGAAUAUUGCACAAUGGGCGGAAGCCUGAUGCAGCAACGCCGGGUGCGGGAUGACGGCCUUCGGGUGGUAAACCGCUUUCGCCUGUGACGAAGCGUGAGUGACGGUAAUGGGUAAAGAAGCACCGGCUAACUACGUG